UCCGCGCUCUCAAAUUAGCACAGGUGUGUUUGAUUUGUCGUGAUUGCCACCGUAUUAUUUGACGCUAAUAACAGUUGUGUUUUGCUAACAGGCUCUGUAGCUAAAACAGUUUGAAUUGAAUUAAUGUUAUUAACUUGUCGACACAUUUCACUCGAGCUCUCUAGAGGAAGAACAUUAGGAUGAAUAAGUUAGUGAAUUCAGUUAUUGUUAAGUAAACAGUCUGCUAGGUUUUAGCUAACAGAUACAACUGAGCCAAGCUUUUACUUCAACCCUCAGGGAGUUGAAGCCUGGAUACAUGCAGAACAUGCAGUUAUGGAUAUCUGUGCUACUACCCGUCGUCUUAUAAUCUCCAAGGGAGUGUUCUGAAAUGGCCUUUGCAUCAUUCAGAACUGGGACUAGCCGUCUGGCCAGCAACACCAGUGGCCAGAACAUCAGAGUGAUCCUCCAGCCUUCACGGUUGGAAGCCCACUGCACCACAACAAUGCUGCUGGCUGAAUGUCUUGGCUUGCUCUACUGGAAGAGAUGUCCAUCGAGCUGAGAACACAGUGAAGCUCAGCCAUUGGCUGUGAACUAACUUAUUCUUCUUCUGACUUUUUAGAUUUCAUUUCAUCCCCUACAUGUUCAGUGAUUGUUCAUUGGUUAAGUACA